CAAUGGGCAAGCAAUUUAUUGAACUACCUUGUUGGUAUUUUCAGGUACUGCGCAGGAGGUACACGCUGUGAGAUGGCCUCAGCUUAUAUACACUCCAAAAGUGAAGGCUUUGAGAAUGUUUUUCAGUUGUAUGGUGGCAUCCAAAGAUAUUUGGAGCAAUUUCCAGAUGGUGGCUAUUUUGAUGGAAAGAAUUUUGUAUGUGACCACAGGUUAGUGCCUUACACAGUGUGCUUUGAACCCUCAAAUUAUCCUCUUUAGCAGUUCCUCAGGUCCUUGACUUGUUUCAGUAUGGUUUAACUGAAUAUAUGUGGGAAGCCUUAAAGACAACAUACUUGGAACUUGUUUGAUAUGUCGUUUUACCUGUUAUGACUACUCGUCCCGGUGCCGUUGCAGCCACUGCAGAAUGUUGGCUCUAGUGUGCUCCACAUGUCAAGAUUCUACCAAGGCCGAAGAGCUCAAGGGCCAGCUGGGCUCUGACCACCCCACCUCCAUCAAGCCCAUGUCCCACGGCUAUGCCACCAAUCAGACAGACUGGUAUGGAAAUAACGUUCGCUGCUGGUCUGUCGUAUUGUGAUUGAUUCUUAGUAUAUAUGAAAUGCUUGUUCUUGCAGACUUGCACAUUGGUGUCAUUGUUGUAUUCUCUGUGGAUGUUUCUCUUGUUCAAUCUGUGAGCGAAGUCAAUCGAAAUGAUUCAGCCAUCGCCUUAUGAAAUUAUUUGAUUCCUGCA